AAGACACGUUGUUGGGGCCGGAUGACCAAGGGGCAGAUCGGACCGUCUCUCUUCCUCUCCACAGAGGCCGCUUGACGCAUCUCCCCAGCUGGCAGUCUCUGGUCAUGCGGCGUGGACACGGUGAGGUCCGUCCCCAGAUUCACCCGGCUGUCGACGGAUGGAGCCAGAGGCUGCACUGCCAUGCGAAAGGGAAGCUCUGAGAUCACUGGUUUUCCUCGAUGACUACGGGAGAGACACACUGGUUGUUCAAGGCACCUCCAUGAUCUGAAGCCCCAUUGUCAUGCAGAGAGGGCACCGGUCGUAUUUUCAGAUCUGGGAGCGGGGGGGCGGGUAGGGAAGACCCCUGACCCCAUGGAGAGAUGGAACUAUGCUACCUCUCCAGUGGGAAGGGUUUUCCUGUAGGUGUGGGCAUUCACAUGAACAGUAGGGUUAAGUCUUGGGGGGAGAAGGGUUAGGUGGAGGCUGCCGUACUGUGUUCACAGGUCGGUUCUGGAAAAAAGAGGUCUGGACUUUGUGCAGGUUGCUGCCUUUGUCAUGACUGUGGGACCAAGAAGAAGCAGGGCCGUUAAUUCUAAGGAUGGGUCACACCUUCCUGCAGCCAGUGUGCCGUCAGCAAGGUCACCCUGCAAACCCCCAAUCCCUGGAGAAGGGACUGGACUGGGCCUGCUGGUGGUGGCUUCCGCGAGGUCGGACUAGUGUCGGGAGGAAGCCAGGUUCCACUACUCCCGAUAAUAUUCAGCCAGGACUGGCAGGGAAGCUCCAGGAACACCUCGCUUCCAUCAGACCCAUGCUCCAGACUCUACUGCUCUCUACUCAGGGGAGGCCUUGGUGAUGAGUCACAGAUCUCUCCCUGCACUGGAUCUGUGUCCCAUUGGGUCAGAUGUAGACAGGAGUCCCACAGCACCCACACCCUGCAGCACAAACGCGGAAAAGGAGGACUCAAGUGAGAACCGGACCAGCUAUUACUCUCCAAACAGUGGCUGAUUAACCCCUCUCCCUGGUCUUGAGGACCAUCCCAUUGCAGUGUGGAUACAGUUAAAUCAAUUCUCACAUUUCCUCCACCCUGGAGAUCUAGAACUGGGAGACAUGUGCGUGGCUCAGUGGAAAGAGCAUGG